UUUGUUAUACAAGAAUAUUCUGAAGUUGUCCUCAAGCGGCCAGUUCCUUUUGCUUGUUCAUUUGCAUGAGUGUGGAAAACAGAAAAAUCGUCGUCCAUGUGUACCAUUUCAUUAUUCCGUUAGACGAGAGCCGCCACUCUAGAAGAUAAACAACA